rnacentral:lncRNA from 1 species
UUUUUUUCUGAGGGUUUUAAACUAUAAAUUUAGUUCAUUUGGCAAAUGAUCAGUCACAUUUUCUAUUUCUUCUUUGGUGAGUUUUAGCUGUUUGUGUCUUUUAAGCCAUCCAUCCAUUUCAUCAACAUUUAAAACUUCCAUACGUCAUAGGACACUAUCAAGACAGUGAGAAGACAACCACAGACUGGGAGAAAAUAUUUGCAAAUCAUGUGUCUGAUAAGGGAUUUGUACCCGAAAUAUUUAAAGAACACUUACAACUCAAUAAUAAAAAGAGAGAUAAUCCAAUUAAAAAUAGGCAAAGGAGGGUUGCCAGGGUGGUUCGGUUAAGCAUCUACCUUUGGCUCAGCUCAUGAACCUGGGGUCCUGGGAUUGAGCCCUGCGUUGAGCUCCCUGCUCUGUGGGGAGCCUGCUUCUCCCUCUCCCUCUGCCUGCUGCUCCCCCUGCUUGUGCUCUUUGUCAAAUAAAUAAAAUCUUAAAAAAAUAAAAAUGGGCAAAGGACUUGAACAGACAUUCCUCUAGAGAAGAUACACUAAUGGCCAGUGAGCACAUGAAAAGGUGAUCAACAUCAUUGGUCAUUAAGGGAAUGCGGUUCAGAACCACAAGGUACCACCUCACACUUCCAAGGAAGGCUGUAAUAAAAAUGACAGACAAUAAUAAGUGUUAGCAAGGACAGAAGAAGUUGAAACCCUCACACAUUGCUGGUAGGAAUGUAAAAUGGCACAGCUGAUGUCGAGAACAAUUUGGAAGUUCCCUCAAAAUUCUGGAACAUAUAGCCAAGUAAAAUGGAAACGUAUUUGCACAAAAACUCAUGCACCAAGUUUCUUAGUGGCAUUGUUCAUAAGAACCAAUAAAUGGAAACAGAUCACAUGCCCAACUGAUGAACAGAUAAGUAGUGGUAUAUCCAUACAAUGGAACAUUAUUCUGUACAAGAAGGGAUUAAGCACUGAUACAUGCUAGGACAUGGAUGAACCCUGAAAAUAUACUGAAAGAUCAGGCACAGAAGACUAGAUAUUGAAUGACCAAAGCAUAUCUAUCUCCCGAGACAGAAAGCGGAUUAGGGGUUGCCUAGGGCUGGGGGACGGAUGAACUAUGUGUGUGGGGUAUUAGAGAUGACUUAAUAGGCAUAGGCUCUCCUUCCGGGCAAUGAAAAUGUUCUAAAAUUAAACUGGUGAUGGUCACACAGCUCUGAAGACAUAGAAACUACUUUAGAAGUAGGUGACUUGCAUGUGAAUUGUGUCUCAUUUUAAGUGUUAAAAACCAAUUAAGACAUCAGAACCAGUUCUGGAAGUACGGGCUGCAGCAACUCUGGAUAUUUUCUUCUUUGCUUGUGUGUCCAUCAGCUACCUACCCUCCCUUCCCUUAUUUGAUGUAAACGUUUUGAUGAUAUUGGUGGUGAACUUCACUAUUUUAGUUAUGGAACAAGCAAGUGGAAUCUGAGUGAUGGAUAUGACUCUAGCAUGCUGCUAUCCCUCCCUUUUAGGAAGAGAAGGGUGUGUCUAGGCACAAGGAUCCUUGCUCCUAGUUGGGGGUAGCCUGAAGUUGUUAAGAGUACCAUAAUUAUUAUGGUAGAAAGAUGUGUAUGGGUGACAGGUAGCUAAUGGGGUGGACUGUGCUAGUUACCCUGUCUCAGCCCUAAACCCACUCCCCUCCCACUUUCUGUGAUGCUGUUGUUGGACCGCUGAAAACUACAUUUCCCAGGCUUCCCUGGCAGCCGGUUUCCUGUUAAGGUUGGCCUGCUAAUAGGGGCCACCUGGGGGAGACCUGGAAGUGCAAAAAGGGAAGGGACUUUCUUGUGCCCUCCUGCACAGUCAGCAGGGGCAGAUUUUUGGCUCCAGCACUACCAUUUCUGCACCCACCUUCUUAGAAAUUCCAGCAUCAACUGCUUAGGAUCCAACCCUCCUGCCAACACACAUCAAAGAUCCAAGCACUGCAGAGGCAUCUGGGUGGCUCAGUCGGUUAAGCGUUAGGCUUGAUUUUGGCUUAGGUCAUGAUCGCAGGAUGGUGAAAUCGAGCCCUGAGUCAUGCUCUGCACUGGGUGUGAACAUGCUUAAGAUUCUCUCUCCUUCUGCCCCUCCUCUGCUUGUGUGCUCUCCAAUCCCUCCCCCCAAAAACACCUUUAUUUCUUAAAAGUUCAUUUAUUUUUAAAUAUUUAUAUUUAUUUUUGAGAGAGAAAGAGAGAGAGAGAACAAGCAGGGGAGUGGCAGAGGGAGAAGCAGACUCCCCACUGAGCAGGGAGCCCAACAUGGGACUCGAUCCCAGGAAUCAUGACCUGAGCUGAAGGCAGAUGCCCAACCGACUGAGCCACUCACUCACCCUAAAACUUUAUUUUUUUUAAAGAUUAUUUAUUUGAGAGAAAGCAUGAGUGGGGUGGGCGAGAGAGAGAAGCAGACUCUCUGCUAAGUAGGGAGAUUGACACAUGGGCUCGAUCCCAGACUCUGGGAUCGUGACCCGAGCCAAAGGCAGAUGCUUAACUGACUGAGCCACCCAGGUGCCCCUCAAAAACAAACAACCCCACUUUAAAAAUCCAAGCUUUGGUCUCAUAGGGCUCCUCCCUCCAAGGUCCUAGCCAGCUUCCAAGAUGACCUCGUGAUCCCUUCUGGUACAGGUAUGCUUGGCCUUGGGUAGCCUGCUCUUACACUGAAUCUAGGUUGGCCUGUGUGACCACUGGAAUAUGGUGGAAGUAAUGCUGUGACUUCUGAGACCAGGUCAUAAAAGGCUCGGGAGCUUCUGCUUGGCUCUUUUGGGAUGCUCACUCUAGAGGAUGCAGCAGGGAUGCUCAAAGAGCCUGGUGGAGAGGCCCUGACAGGGACUGAGGCCUCUGGUCAGCAGCCAGCCAUGUGAGGGAGACACAUACAAAAGUCCUUGGAAAUGGACUCUCCAGCUGGUCAUAUCCUCAAAGGACUGCAGCCCAGACAGUAUGUGACCAAAACCUCAGGAGGGACCCCGGACCAAAGUCACCCACCCUACCUCAGGAGAGACGCUGGACCAAAGUCACCCACCGUACCUCAGGAGAGCACCGGACCAAAGUCCCCCACCCUACCUCAGGAGAGACCUGGACCAAAGUCAUGCACCCUACCUCAGGAGAGACCCUGAACCAGGGUCACCCACCCUACCUCAGGAGAGCCCUUGACCAAAACCACUCACCCAAGCUGCUCCCAAAUUGACAGACUUAAGCCAUAAGCAACCACUAUUUUUUUAAGCCACCAAACUUAAGGGGUGAUUUGAUAUGCCAACACCAGAUAGCUAAAG